rnacentral:tRNA from 1 species
AGGCCAGUAGCAUAAUUGGCAAUGCAGCGGACUCCAAAUCCGAAGAUUGCGGGUUCAAUUCCUGCCUGGCCUGCCA